UCCUGGCUCAGGAUGAACGCUAGCGGCAGGCCUAAUACAUGCAAGCCGGACGGCAAGUUGAGUAGCAAUACUUGACCUAGAGUGGCGUAAGGGUGCGUAACACGUAUGCAAUCUGCCCACAGCCGGGAGAUAGCCCUCCGAAAGGAGGAUUAAUAUCCCAUAGGAAGAUGAGAUGGCAUCAUUUUAUUUUUAAACUACGGGGCUGUGGAUGAGCAUGCGGUUGAUUAGCUAGUUGGCGGGGUAAAGGCCCACCAAGGCGAUGAUCAAUAGGGGACCUGAGAGGGUGAUCCCUCACACUGGUACUGAGAUACGGACCAGACUCCUACGGGAGGCAGCAGUAGGGAAUAUUGGUCAAUGGGCGCAAGCCUGAACCAGCCAUGCCGCGUGCAGGAAGAAGGCCCUCUGGGUUGUAAACUGCUUUUGAUAGGGAACAAAUGCCACUUGCGAGUGGAGCUGAGUGUACCUAUAGAAUAAGCACCGGCUAACUCCGUG
rnacentral:rRNA from 1 species